GUUCUCGGGUUAUUUAAUUAUCAGUAUUAAUAGAGUGAAGCAUUUUCUAAACGUUCUACAGUUUUUAAGUGAAAAAUCUAGGUGACGCUAAACUCGGUUUAGAUUCGGUAUUCGUAAGAAUCCGGUUAUUACGUGUAAUAACUUGUACACUGUCAAAUAUUGAUAUAUUACACGCCUAUAGAAAAUGUAUGCGUUAAUUUCUUUCAUAAUCCCAUUUAUACAUUAAAUCUACUUGUCGAUACAAUAAAUGUCAACUUUGGUUGUAGAUUGCUACAAGUCGCACUUUUGAUACCUCAUGAUAGAUCAAAUACACAACGUAAACGUGUCGAUACAAUAAAUUACAACUUUGGUAUGUAAACUAGUACGUAGAUUGCUACAAGUCGCACUUUGAUACCUCAUAAUAGAUCAAAUACACAACGUAAACGUGUCGAUACAAUAAAUUUCAACUUUGGUAUGUAAACUAGUACGUAGAUUGCUACAAGUCGCACUUUGAUAUCUCAUGAUAGAUCAAAUACACAACGUAAACGUGUCGAUACAAUAAAUUACAACUUUGGUAUGUAAACUAGUACGUAGAUUGCUACAAGUCGCACUUUGAUACCUCAUGAUAGAUCAAAUACACAACGUAAACGUGUCGAUACAAUAAAUGUACAUAUAUAUAUGCGGAUUCAAUUUAUUAAAUUACAAGUUAAGUUGUAAAGUUAGAUUUAGCGCCACCUAAUAAUAAUGUAAGGAAAUGUGGUUUACUAUCACUCUUUCAGGGACCAAUGUGUAAUUUAUGUUUUUAUUCAUUGAUUCUUAAUGCAACAUAAUAAUUUUGUGCCAACAAAGUUUCAAUUAUCAUCUUGUGUGUCAAGAUCACGAUGUAUUCUGUAAAGAUCCGGGAUAUAACCACCAACUACUGUAUUUUCUAAAUUCCUUUCUGAACGAUGUGUGCUGUGGUUACUGUAUCCAGAUGCUAUAUCACGACAGUUUUUCAUAUGUGUUGUAUUUCCUUCUGUCGAGGAAACCAUGAUGAUGUUAGUUUACGGGUGUGCGUUUCCGCUAAUGUUUGAUUUCCUUAUCGCUCAAAAAGUGGACCAGUUUCAACAUUACUUGGGAAAUGCAGUAAGCACCUUUGUCUCAAGGAAACAUAAGGGUCAAGAGGACAACGAAACAAGCGUAGCGUAAAGAGUGGCGACCAAGUCGUACUAUUCGGUCUAGCAACAGUUGGCGGUCGGUUGAGUUGACUAACUAGCUGCCUUCCCUUUAGUCUGUCACUUCAAAAUUAUGGUCGGCUAGCGCAUAUAGCCCUCCAGUAGCUUUGCGUGAAAUUGGAAAACAAACAAGAAAACGUAGCAAACUGAGUGAAAACAGAAGUUUUAGUGCGCAUGAUUAAGAAGACACAGCAAGUUCCUACUUGAUCAGGGGAUGACUGUUACGUAAAAAAUAUUCAACUUUGUUGCCGAUUUUUUACGCCUGUAUAAAUUAAUCAUUUGAACUAAAA